rnacentral:rRNA from 1 species
UACGUAGGUGGCAAGCGUUGUCCGGAUUUACUGGGCGUAAAGGGCGUGCAGGCGGUCUGUUAAGUCUAGGGUGAAAGCUCCCGGCUCAACUGGGAGAGGUCCUUGGAUACUGGCGGACUUGAGGGAGGCAGAGGAAAGUGGAAUUCCCGGUGUAGUGGUGAUAUGCGUAGAUAUUGGGAAGAACACCUGAGGCGAAGGCGGGUUGCUGGGCCGACACUGACGCUGAGGCGCGAAAGCCAGGGGAGCAAACGGG